rnacentral:rRNA from 1 species
AGAGUUUGAUCCUGGCUCAGGAUGAACGCUGGCGGCGCGCCUAACACAUGCAAGUCGAACGGUUAAGGGCCCCUUUAGGGGGCGCAUAGAGUGGCGAACGGGUGAGUAACACGUGACCAACCGCCCCCCCACCGGGACAACCUCGGGAAACCGAGGCUAAUACCGGGAUACGCCGGGGCCCCGCAUGGGGGCUCCGGGAAAGCCUUGGCGGAGGGACGGGGUCGCGGCCCAUCAGGUAGACGGCGGGGCGAAGGCCCGCCGUGCCGACGACGGGUAGCCGGGCUGAGAGGCCGAUCGGCCACAUUGGGACUGAGACACGGCCCAGACUCCUACGGGAGGCAGCAGUGGGGAAUAUUGCGCAAUGGGCGAAAGCCUGACGCAGCGACGCCGCGUGCGGGAAGGAGGCCUUCGGGUCGUAAACCGCUUUCAGCAGGGAAGAAGCCUGACGGUACCUGCAGAAGAAGCCCCGGCUAACUACGUG